rnacentral:rRNA from 1 species
GGGGGGGGGGGGGGGGGGGCUGGGGGGAGGGAGGGCGGGCGGGAGGGCGUGGUUGCCGGGGGGGGUUGGGGGGACUCGAGUGGCGAACGGGUGGGUGACGCGUGGGGGAUCGGCCCCGAGCUUGGGGAGAGGCCUGGGAGCCUGGGUCUCAUUCCCUAUAGGACUGCAGGGUGGUGCCUGUGGUGGCAACCGUUUUGCUAGUGGUUGGGGAUGAGCUCGCGGCCUAUCAGCUUGUUGGUGUGGCAAUGGCCUCCCAAGGCGGCGACGGGUAGCCGGGCUGGGAGGGCGGACCGCCACAUUGGGACUGAGAUACGGGCCAGAAUCCUACGGGCGGCAGCAGUGGGGAAUAUUGAACAAUGGGCGGAAGCCUGAUGCAGCGACGCCGCGUGGGGGAUGACGGCCUUCGGGUUGUAAACUCCUUUCGACCGCGAGGAAGCCACCUGGUUGGAAGGGUGGUGACGGUAGUGGUAGAAGAAGCACCGGCUAACUACGUG